rnacentral:rRNA from 1 species
CCUACGGGGGGCUGCAGUGGGGAAUAUUGCACAAUGGGCGCAAGCCUGAUGCAGCCAUGCCGCGUGCAUGAAGAAGGCCUUCGGUAUGUAAAGCUCUUUCAGUAGGGAGGAAAAUGACGAUACCUGUAUCAGUAUCACCGGCUAACUACGUUCCAGCAGCCGCGGGAAUACGCCGGGGGCCAGCGUUAUCCGGAUUUACUGGGGGUAAAGGGAGCGUAGACGGCAGUGCAAGUCGGGAGUGAAAGGCGGGGGCUUAAACCCGGGACUGCCCUGGAAGCUGUACGGCUGGAGGGCAGGUGAGGUAAGUGGAAUGCCUAGUGUAGCGGUGAAAUGCGUAGAGAUGAGGAGGAACACCAGUGGCGAAGGCGGCUUACUGGACUGUAACUGACGUUGAGGCUCGAAAGCGUGGGGAGCAAACAGGAUUAGAUACCCGAGUAGUC